UACGUAGGGUGCAAACGUUGUUCGGAAUUAUUGGGCGUAAAGCGCACGUAGGCGGCAUUGCAAGUCGGAUGUGAAAUCCCUCGGCUUAACCAAGGAAGUGCAUCCGAAACUGCAGUGCUUGAGUACGAAAGAGGAUAGCGGAAUUCCCGGUGUAGAGGUGAAAUUCGUAGAUAUCGGGAGGAACACCAGUGGCGAAGGCGGCGAUCUGGGUCGAUACUGACGCUGAGGUGCGAAAGCGUGGGGAGCAAAAGGG
rnacentral:rRNA from 1 species